CAAUAGCGUAUAUUUAAGUUGCUGCAGUUAAAAAGCUCGUAGUUGGAUUUCGGGUGGGAAUGGCCGGUCCGCCGUUUCGGUGUGCACUUGCUACGCCCACCUUGCUGCCGGGGACGUGCUCUUGAGUUCACGCUCGGGACACGGAGUCGGCGAGGUUACUUUGAGUAAAUUAGAGUGUUCAAAGCAGGCCUACGCUCUGAAUACAUUAGCAUGGAAUAACACGAUAGGACUCUGGCCUAUCUUGUUGGUCUGUAGGACCGGAGUAAUGAUUAAGAGGGACAGUCGGGGGCAUUCGUAUUUCAUUGUCAGAGGUGAAAUUCUUGGAUUUAUGAAAGACGAACUACUGCGAAAGCAUUUGCCCAGGAUGUUUUCAUUAA
rnacentral:rRNA from 1 species